UCAAACACACAGACACAUCCCUCUGUGACUCCAGAGCACCACAGGCCCUAAAAAGCAGUCUCCACGCCGCGGCUCGCCAACCUCUGAAAGAAGAGGAAAACGGAUACUGGGGGCAGCCAGCAAUCUCUGCCACUGGGACACAGUCUUCACCCCUUUGCCAGGACCAUGGUGAGCCAAGGUCAUGGGGAAAAGGUAACUGCCAUCUGGCGGGGAGAGAGGUGAUUGGAUGAGGAAUCGGAGGAGGCUUCCUGGGAGGUCCGACAUUUCGGCUAAGCCUCGAAGGACAGGGCAGCCCCGCAAGCAGAGAGCGACUCUAAAACAUGAAGACAUCUAGAAGACAGAGAGGAGGAGAUGAGAUCAGAGAUGUAGAAACCCAAGAGGAGGCAGCUGCAAAGUUCCCAGGGAGACAGCAUGGAGGGGAUCAGGCCAGAGCCAAGGAGCCCUUCCAUCCCAAGCAGGCAGUCAGGGAAGACUUCCUGGAGGAGGCAGCCCGAAGCUGUCCCAGCCAAAGCAAGAGCUGUUUAGAGCCCAGGGAGUGGGGCUGCGGGGAGGGUUUGCCCUGGAGGGGACCAGCCACAGAAGGAGGGACCAGCCAAAGCCAGGCCAUGCCCAGGGACAGACAGGCCCCACCGCUGCCUCGAGAUACCCCUACCCCAGCCAAUGUGAGCACCUCACGGAGCACAGGCUGCACCUGGCACCACAUCCCCAUCCCAGUGAAUCUUCCCAGUGACGUCACAAGGUGCAGAUCCUUGCCCAAUUAAUGGAAGAAGAAGCUGGAGCCCAGAGAGGGUCGGCCACUUCACUGAGGCCACACAGCAAGGAUUUGGGUCCGGCAGUCAGAACCAGUGUACCCAGCACUAUUUGACCCUUCCUGGGGCCGGGGGUGUCAUUCAGAAACACUCUGACAUUAUCGUCCUGGUCUCUGGAACAAGAACUGCUCUAUCCACAUCCCAUCCACAGCCAUCCCUUACAAGACAGGGACAGAGAUGGAGUUACCCCAUUGGACAGAAAAACAAACUGAGGCUCCAAGAGGUGAAGUCGCACGCGUGGGUCCGCGGCCCAUCGGUGGCCGGCAGGACUUGAGUCCAGGUCCUUCUGACUCCGUGUCCUGAUUCUCGGUGAUUCUUGCUGAGGCCUUUCUCUCCCCUCCUACCCCUCCUCCCCCCCCCCACCA